GUUUGAUGAACACUUUAGAUGACGAGUCUGAGCUUGUUGCGCGAGGUUUCCUCGCGUCAGCUGUUGUGACGAGUCUUUUCAAAUUUACCAUUCAUGCAUAUCUGAUU
rnacentral:snoRNA from 1 species